AUGCACGCUGGCGGCGUGCCUAAUACAUGCCCGUCGAGCGAACAGACGAGGAGCUUGCUCCUCUGACGUUAGCGGCGGACGGGUGAGUAACACGUGGAUAACCUACCUAUAAGACUGGGAUAACUUCGGGAAACCGGAGCUAAUACCGGAUAAUAUAUUGAACCGCAUGGUUCAAUAGUGAAAGACGGUUUUGCUGUCACUUAUAGAUGGAUCCGCGCCGCAUUAGCUAGUUGGUAAGGUAACGGCUUACCAAGGCAACGAUGCGUAGCCGACCUGAGAGGGUGAUCGGCCACACUGGAACUGAGACACGGUCCAGACUCCUACGGGAGGCAGCAGUAGGGAAUCUUCCGCAAUGGGCGAAAGCCUGACGGAGCAACGCCGCGUGAGUGAUGAAGGUCUUCGGAUCGUAAAACUCUGUUAUUAGGGAAGAACAAAUGUGUAAGUAACUAUGCACGUCUUGACGGUACCUAAUCAGAAAGCCACGGCUAACUACGUG
rnacentral:rRNA from 1 species